UACGUAGGGUGCAAGCGUUGUCCGGAAUUAUUGGGCGUAAAGAGCUCGUAGGCGGUUUGUCGCGUCUGCUGUGAAAACCCGAGGCUCAACCUCGGGCCUGCAGUGGGUACGGGCAAACUAGAGUGCGGUAGGGGAGAUUGGAAUUCCUGGUGUAGCGGUGAAAUGCGCAGAUAUCAGGAAGAACACCUAUGGCGAAGGCAGCUCUCUGGGACGGUACUGACGCUGAGACGCGAAAGCGUGGGGAGCGAACAGG
rnacentral:rRNA from 1 species